rnacentral:rRNA from 1 species
AUUGAACGCUGGCGGCAGGCCUAACACAUGCAAGUCGAACGAGUGGCGGACGGGUGAGUAAUGCCUGGGAAUCUGGCUGAUGGAGGGGGAUAACGACAGGAAACUGUAGCUAAUAACGCGUACCAUCGGCUGAGCCCAAGUGGGAUUAGGUAGUUGGUGGGGUAAAGGCUUACCAAGGCGACGAUCACUAGCUGGUCUGAGAGGAUGACCAGCCACACCGGGACUGAGACACGGCCCGGACUCCUACGGGAGGCAGCAGUGGGGAAUAUUGCACAAUGGGGGCAACCUGACGCAGCCAUGCCGCGUGAAUGAAGAAGGCCUUCGGGUUGUAAAGUUCUUUCGGUGACGAGGCGUUAAUCACAGAAGAAGCACCGGCUAACUCCGUGCCAGCAGCCGCGGUAAUUC